GUUCUUAUAGUUGAAUAUAACAGCAGUUUUUCAGAUUGCAAGUCUAGGUUAAAGUCCUUGUAGGAAUU
rnacentral:tRNA from 1 species